GCCUGACUAUUCCUUGUGCUCCAGACCAAUAUAUGCAAUUCUUGGAUUGGACUGAUUGAGAAGGAAGGGGAUCCUGAAUGUUACAAUAGCCAUAAGUAAGAAGACAGUGAUAAAGCUGGGGAUAUUAAGCCUCUAAGUUUUGGUGAGUUUUUGUCCUCUCCACUCUUAUCUGAGGAGAUUAACUCUGCAGUGCCUGAGGAAAGUAUAAUGACCUCCCCUGAGGCAUUUGCCAUGCAAGACAAUGCUGAGUCUUCUCACCACUCACCCCCCACCACCCUCUUCCCACCCCCCCACCCCCCCACCGCCCAUGACAAGGUGUGCUGUACUUCAAAAGAACUACAGUACUUAGGUUUUCUAACUUACACAGACAGAAAUGCAUGGAACAUGUGUGGAAAGGAAUAU
rnacentral:lncRNA from 1 species